rnacentral:piRNA from 1 species
UAGAAAGACUCUAGGAGAGCAAGAAUGCCC